UUAUGGCCAUAUCAUGUUGAAACACCGGUUCCCGUACAAACACCGAAUUUAAGAAACGUCGACCCUAGUCAGUACCUAGAUAAGUGACCACUUAGGAAUAACAGAUGCUGUAAG